GUUUCAGAUGAGAAACACUGUGUGGUGCAAAGAUGAUUGUAGGAUUCUUCUACAUUUCUGUCAUUGCUGUUUUAUCAGAGACAGUACUCUGUAUGCUGUGUUGGGGUCCAGCGUCGGCUGGCAGGAGUCUGUAGGCCUCCUUCCGGUUGGACAUGCCCUGAAACACCUCCCCAGGGAGCCGUCCAAGAGGUUUACUGGGGAACGUGGACCUCGCCGCUGUUUUGUCUGUCUGGUUACCAGUGAUCGACAUCUGUGCAUCCUGUGGAGAACGUGGAUUCGUGGGGGUGGCCAGAGUGGGACUGUGGUGCCAGGAGUUGCUCGGAGUGCUGCUAUUCCGCUGCCGAUUGCGGCAUCUAGUCUAUGCAUAUACUGCCUCAAGAUUUUGUAUUUUGGUUGUUUGGUAUGCUUUAUUUUAUUGCAUGUAUUAAUUAUUUGUGUUUGGUUUGGUUUGUUAAUUUAUUUUGAUUGUGAUUUUGUAUUUAUCUUGGGGGCGGUUAAGCAGGCCUAGCGGGGUAAUGGAAAGCGGCGGUACCCUAAUAACCUGGUGUUUUGUUCCCUCAUCUGUGUUCCAUGGCUAGUAGCCUUGCGCAGCACCCGCCUGGUGUAUGGUGGACGUCACCUGUGUGCGUGUGCUGUAAAGU